rnacentral:rRNA from 1 species
UACAGAGGGGGCAAGCGUUGUCCGGAGUUACUGGGCGUAAAGGGCCCGCAGGUGGCACGGCAAGUGCCGGGUGAAAGCCCCGUGCUUAACACGGGGGAGGCCCCCGGCAGACGGUCGCGCUCGAGGGCGGCAGAGGGGGGGUGGAAUUGCUGGUGUAGUGGUGAAAUGCGUAGAGAUCAGCAGGAACACCAAGGGCGAAAGCAGCCCCCUGGGCCGCACCUGACACUGAGGGGCGAAAGCGUGGGGGAGCGAACCGGAUUAGAAACC